rnacentral:rRNA from 1 species
AGAAUCAACGCUGGCGGCGUGCCUAACACAUGCAAGUCGAACGAGAAAGUGGAGCAAUCCAUGAGUAAAGUGGCGCACGGGUGAGUAACACGUGACUACCUACCCUUGAGUGGGGGAUAACCUAGGGAAACCUGGGCUAAUACCGCAUAACACCUUCGGGUCAAAGGAGCAAUUCGCUUAAGGAGGGGGUCGCGGCCGAUUAGUUAGUUGGCGGGGUAAUGGCCCACCAAGACGAUGAUCGGUAUCCGGCCUGAGAGGGCGCACGGACACACUGGAACUGAAACACGGUCCAGACUCCUACGGGAGGCAGCAGUGGGGAAUUUUGCGCAAUGGGGGAAACCCUGACGCAGGCAACGCCGCGUGGAGGAUGAAGUCCCUUGGGACGUAAACUCCUUUCGUUCGGGACGAUUAUGACGGUACCGGAAGAAGAAGCCCCGGCUAACUUCGUGCCAGCAGCCGC